CUGAUUGGCCAGGUUGAGGUCAUGUGGCCUCUAUCUCCAAGGGAACUUGGGAGCUGCUCACCUGCUUCCAGUGGGAGAGGGUGUGACACCUGAGAGAGCAGGUUCAGGAUCGAGCCCUCUGUUCAUUUCCUGGAUAUGCCUGCUCAUGUCCUCCCACGCCACUGUCUUCUGUGUACACAAGAACCCAAGGCAGCACUUCUUCCCCUCUCCUGCCGCCUCCUUCACAGGCCCCAUUUCAGGCAUAAUACAAAGGAACAGGGCUUCCUGCUUGAAGGUGCUGAUCCAGGGAUCAACAGGACUGAUGACGUUGCUCUCCUCAAGGAGCUGACACUGCAGCGUGAGGGGACAAAUUCAGAGGACAAAUUCCGAUCAGUGUUCCCUCUUCCAGCACACAUUCACUGAGGUCCUAUUGCAUGCUCCAGACAUGGAAGCACGGCAGGGAGUGAAGCAGGCAGAGGUCUCCAUUCUUAUGGGAUGAUAGUCUAGCGGGGGAGACAGAGAAAACAAAAGUAAAACAUAAACAAAGCUAAUUAACCUGAACCCAGGUCAUCAAUCUGUUGAAUUCAGCAAAUUGUAUUCCAGUGAUUCAAUAUGGAAACAGAGGCCUAGCUAAGUGGUGGCUCAUUCUUGGAGACCCAGCUCAGAUGUCACCUUAUGAGGCCCUGCUGGAUCCUUACCACUCCCCCAGACGCUUUUGCCUUACUUGGGACCCCUCAGUGCUGUGAUCACACUUUGAAGUCCUUUCUAGCCUGUGAGUUGUGUGAGGACGCUGAGUUAGAUGCAGAAAGGGGCUCAGAAUGUGAUGAUGAGUAAAGUCUGAAUAAAUGAAAGGAUCAACCCCCACCCCACCCCACCCCCCAAAAAAGUAGAAAAUAGGAGUCAAGCUUGGUAGCUAGAGAUCAGGAAGUGUCAUUUUCAUAUCAUGAAGGAAGAAUAGUCAGGUCAAUACUUUUUAACCCAACUCAGUGACUUCAUCGUGACCAAAUUUAGCAGAAAUUUGAUAAAGUUUACUGCAUGGUUCCAUUUAGAUUUUUCCAAUUCAUGAGUGAUAGUAGCAUUACACACACACACACACACACACACACACACACACACACACACACACACCCCUCACCUCUCCAUAAGCCUGAAUCCUUCAGAGCUCUGUCUGAGUUUCAGUUCCGGGCAACAUCAGCGCUUCUAAUUUGACUGGUAUUAGUUUAUGUGACUUCAAUUGGACAUAAUUCUGUUUAAUGACAUAAUAGCUAAUGAUUGCUACACACAGGAGAUAGUUAAAUAGUCUUUUUCAUUUGAAAUGAGAAACCCAGACAUCUUUCUCGUGUAGAAGCAUAAUGAAAAUUAUUUAGCUUUAUCAAUAAAUUUUUAUCAGCA
rnacentral:lncRNA from 1 species